rnacentral:rRNA from 1 species
UUCCUACGGGGGGCAGCAGUAGGGAAUCUUCCACAAUGGGCGAAAGCCUGAUGGAGCAACGCCGCGUGGGUGAAGAAGGUCUUCGGAUCGUAAAACCCUGUUGUUAGAGAAGAAAGUGCGUGAGAGUAACUGUUCACGUCUCGACGGUAUCUAACCAGAAAGUCACAGCUAACUACGUGCCAGCAGCCGCGGUAACACGUAGGUGGCAAGCGUUAUCCGGAUUCAUUGGGCGUAAAGGGAACGCAGGCGGACUUUU